GAUCUCUUUCUUGAUUCUAUGGGUGGUGGUGCAUGGCCGUUCUUAGUUGGUGGAGUGAUUUGUCUGGUUAAUUCCGAUAACGAACGAGACCUUAACCUGCUAACUAGUCUUGCUCAUUACAUGGGUACUGACUUCUUAGAGGGACUAUGUGUCGAAAAGCACAUGGAAGUUUGAGGCAAUAACAGGUCUGUGAUGCCCUUAUAUGUCCUGGGCUGCACGCGUGCUACACUGAUACAUACAACAAGUGCCUAGCCUGCUAAGGUGUGGCAAUCUCUAAUAUGUAUCGUGAUGGGGAUAGAUCUUUGCAAUUAUAGAUCUUGAACGAGGAAUUCCUAGUAAGUGCAAGUCAUCAUCUUGCAUUGAUUAUGUCCCUGCCCUUUGUACACACCGCCCGUCGCUCCUACCGAUACCGGGUGAUCCGGUGAACCUUUUGGACCGUUCGCGGAAAGAUAAGUAAACCUUAUCACCUAGAGGAAGGAGAAGUCGUAACAAGGUAACCAAUCACUAGU
rnacentral:rRNA from 1 species